CCUACGGGGGGCAGCAGUGGGGAAUAUUGGACAAUGGGGGCAACCCUGAUCCAGCCAUGCCGCGUGUGUGAAGAAGGCCCUCGGGUUGUAAAGCACUUUCAGUGAGGAAGAACGCCUGGUGGUUAAUACCCAUCAGGAAAGACAUCACUCACAGAAGAAGCACCGGCUAACUCCGUGCCAGCAGCCGCGGUAAUACGGAGGGUGCGAGCGUUAAUCGGAAUUACUGGGCGUAAAGCGCGCGUAGGUGGCUUGAUAAGCCGGUUGUGAAAGUCCCGGGCUCAACCUGGGAACGGCAUCCGGAACUGUCAAGCUAGAGUGCAGGAGAGGAAGGUAGAAUUCCCGGUGUAGCGGUGAAAUGCGUAGAGAUCGGGAGGAAUACCAGUGGCGAAGGCGGCCUUCUGGACUGACACUGACACUGAGGUGCGAAAGCGUGGGUAGCAAACAGGAUUAGAUACCCCUGUAGUC
rnacentral:rRNA from 1 species